AGAAUCAACGCUGGCGGCGCGCUUAACACAUGCAAGUCGAACGAGAAAGUGGAGCAAUCCAUGAGUAAAGUGGCGUACGGGUGAGUAACACGUGGAUCAUCUACCUCUUAGUGGGGAAUAACUCUGGGAAACCGGAGCUAAUACCGCAUCAUCCUGAGAAGGCAAAGCGACAUCUUAAAAAUGACGCGCUGAGAGAGGAGUCCGCGGCCGAUUAGCUAGUUGGUAGGGUAAUGGCCUACCAAGGCAAUGAUCGGUAGCCGGGCCUGAGAGGGGCACGACGGACCGACGACCUGGCGACUGAAACACGGGCCAGACUCCUACGGGAGGCAGCAGUGGGGAAUCUUGCACAGUGGGGGCAACCCUGAUGCAGCGACGCCGCGUGAACGAUGAAGCCCUUCGGGUGUAAAGUUCUUUCGGCAGGAACGAUAAUGACGGUACCUGAGAAGAAGCUGCGGCUAACUACGUGCCAGCAGCCGCGGUAA
rnacentral:rRNA from 1 species